CCUACGGGUGGCAGCAGUGAGGAAUAUUGGUCAAUGGGCGUAAGCCUGAACCAGCCAAGUCGCGUGAGGGAUGAAGGUUCUAUGGAUCGUAAACCUCUUUUAUAAGGGAAUAAAGUGCGGGACGUGUCCCGUUUUGUAUGUACCUUAUGAAUAAGGAUCGGCUAACUCCGUGCCAGCAGCCGCGGUAAUACGGAGGAUCCGAGCGUUAUCCGGAUUUAUUGGGUUUAAAGGGUGCGUAGGCGGCCUUUUAAGUCAGCGGUGAAAGGCUGUGGCUCAACCAUAGAAUUGCCUGUGAAACUGGGAGUCUUGAGUAUGUUUGAGGCAGGCGGAAUGCGUGGUGUAGCGGUGAAAUGCUUAGAUAUCACGCAGAACCCCGAUUGCGAAGGCAGCCUGCCAAGCCAUGACUGACGCUGAUGCACGAAAGCGUGGGGAUCAAACAGGAUUAGAUACCCUGGUAGUC
rnacentral:rRNA from 1 species